GGGCGGGGCGCCGCCGGGGCGGGGGGCGCUCUGCGACGACCAAGACGACUGUAGGUCGUUAGGAGUGAAAAGUGCCCAGGCGGGGGUUGGAGAGGGCGAGUUCCUAAUUCCACCCUCCGCACCUCCCCUGCACUUUGGUGCCAUUUCAGACAGUGUUCAAACACAAGACCUGGAACCCAAUCGAAGAUAACCAGCACACAGGGGACGGGACGAGGUGAAGGAGAACUAGUGAACAGCUGAAUGGGCAGCCAAAUGUAAUCCAGCCAGCACAGCAGCUCAAAGGGAAGUCAGCAACCGUGUAGGUUCCCUCCCUUGGCGCUUUCCUGCCGGACCUUACUCACUUUGGGCAGAGACUUCCAGAGCUCCCAAGACAGGGCCGUCCGCAGAGACAGAUGACCACACAGAAGGAGAGGCUGAGCGGGAAUGGAAGACAGGAAGGUGCUUGUGAAUCCCAAGCUCAUCACGGAGGGCCCCCCAAGACCUGGCCUCUGCUACCAAGUAUCAUGGAUCCCAG